GCUGGAUAGAUCAGUUGGUAAGAGUGUGGUGCUGAUAACGCCAAGGUUGAAGGUUCGAUCCCUGUAUGGGACAGCUGCA
rnacentral:tRNA from 1 species